GCACGAAGUUAGCCGGGGCUUAUUCUGCGGGUACCGUCAUUAUCGUCCCCGCCAAAAGAGCUUUACAACCCUAAGGCCUUCGUCACUCACGCGGCAUGGCUGGAUCAGGCUUGCGCCCAUUGUCCAAUAUUCC
rnacentral:rRNA from 1 species